GCAAUUAUUACACCAAGUUUUGCAUUCCAUGGACAGCUAGAUUGGAAAGAGCAAUUUUUCAUGAUAAUGAAUGUGAACUAGCAUGAACACCAAAUUUAAGUACCACAAUUUUCUAGGGGUUUAUGUCGGUGUUCUUGAGUUGAUUUCUUGAUCGUGUUAUAUACAUAUAUGAAGAUAUUAAUGAUCCAGAAAAACUGGGGCUGUGAUACCUCAGCAUAGUACCUG
rnacentral:lncRNA from 1 species